UUCUAGGAAAUCCUGCUACGCCUUAAUUCAGCGUUUCUCCCAGUGCAGCUUCUUCCCAUCGAACCAACGGCACGGUGGCUCACCAGGCAAAACGGCCAAGGAGCACAUGCUUUCCUUCCUUUGGUAUGCGGCCAACAAGGCUUCCAUGAGGGAGGUGUCUGUUCUUUUUGACACAGCUUAAUCAACACAACUGGUUAUUAUAAAUAGGGUUCUCCACUUCAUGUGCAGCAUUGCACCAGAGGAGAUCUACUUUUCAAGCAACAAGGAAGCUGUUGCAAGAGAAUUUGAAAAGGAAAGACAACAAGAGAUCGCUCAGCAUCGCAUUCUCCGAGAGGAAGAAUGCAAGGAAGCAAGCCAGUCCAUACCGACACAGAGAGAGUCAGCCCUGCGGCGCCUUGGUGAACUGAAGCGGAGCAACCUGGCACAGCGUUUAUAAGUUUGCUCAUUCUGUCAUGAUGGUGUAAAAAAAGUGUGCAAGAAGCAUUUCUAUUAUUUAUGAACAAGGCAUAAGACACAGUGCUUUUAAAGUUUUAUUGACGCAAGCAGUUGUUGCGUUUAUGGUUCUGAAAUGAACUGCAUCUCCUUUUUGCAAUGAAAAAAAAAACGCUACUCGCGUAAAAAAU